GACGAACGCUGGCGGCGUGCCUAAUACAUGCAAGUCGAACGCAUUUUCUUUCACCGUAGCUUGCUACACCGAAAGAAAAUGAGUGGCGAACGGGUGAGUAACACGUGGGUAACCUGCCCAUCAGCGGGGGAUAACACUUGGAAACAGGUGCUAAUACCGCAUAAUUCCAUUUACCGCAUGGUAAAUGGAUGAAAGGCGCUUUUGCGUCACUGAUGGAUGGACCCGCGGUGCAUUAGCUAGUUGGUGGGGUAACGGCCUACCAAGGCUGCGAUGCAUAGCCGACCUGAGAGGGUGAUCGGCCCCACUGGGACUGAGACACGGCCCAGACUCCUACGGGAGGCAGCAGUAGGGAAUCUUCGGCAAUGGACGCAAGUCUGACCGAGCAACGCCGCGUGAGUGAAGAAGGUUUUCGGAUCGUAAAACUCUGUUGUUAGAGAAGAACAAGGAUGAGAGUGGAAAGUUCAUCCCUUGACGGUAUCUAACCAGAAAGCCACGGCUAACUACGUG
rnacentral:rRNA from 1 species